CACGGUAGGGUGCGUAGCGUUGUCCGGAAUUAUUAGGGCGUAAAGAGCUCGUAGGCGGUUGUGUCGGCGUACGGCCCGUUGAAAACCUGCAGCUUAAACUGUGGGCUUGCGGUCGAUACGGGCAUCAACUGGAGUUCGGGCAGGGGAGACUGGAAUUCCUAGGUGUAGCGGUGGAAAUGCGCAGAUAAUCGAGGAGGGAACACCGGUGGCGAAGGCGGGGUCUCUGGGGCCGAAUACGUGACGCUGAGGAGCGAAAGCGUGGGGAGCGAACAGG
rnacentral:rRNA from 1 species